rnacentral:ncRNA from 1 species
AGCCUGUGAAAUAACAGCUUUUUCAAGGAGUUAGUUAUUGAGGCUCUUACUGGUUCUCACUUAGCCAAUUCUUGAAUAGGAGAUAGCCUCUGAAAGAAAAAAGUGAAA